AUUGAACGCUGGCGGCAGGCCUAACACAUGCAAGUCGAACGAGUGGCGGACGGGUGAGUAAUGUCUGGGAAACUGCCUGAUGGAGGGGGAUAACUACUGGAAACGGUAGCUAAUACCGCAUACCAUCAGAUGUGCCCAGAUGGGAUUGGCUAGUUGGUUGGGUAACGGCUCACCAAGGCGAAGCUCCCUAGCUGGUAUGAGAGGAUGACCAGCCACACUGGAACUGAGACACGGGCCAGACUCGUACGGGAGGCAGCAGUGGGGAAUAGUGCACAAUGGGCGCAAGCCGGAUGCAGCCAUGCCGCGUGUAUGAAGAAGGCCUUCGGGUUGGAAAGUACUUUCAGCGAGGAGGCGUUACUCGAAGAAGAAGCACCGGCUAACUCCGUGCCAGCAGCCGCGGUAAUUC
rnacentral:rRNA from 1 species